rnacentral:rRNA from 1 species
UACGUAGGGACCAAGCGUUGUUCGGAUUUACUGGGUGUAAAGGGCGCGUAGGCGGCUUUGUAAGUCACUUGUGAAAUCUCCGGGCUUAACUCGGAACGGCCAAGUGAUACUGCAAUGCUAGAGUGCAGAAGGGGCAAUCGGAAUUCUUGGUGUAGCGGUGAAAUGCGUAGAUAUCAAGAGGAACACCUGAGGUGAAGACGGGUUGCUGGGCUGACACUGACGCUGAUGCGCGAAAGCCAGGGGAGCAAACGGG